GAUGAACGCUGGCGGCGUGCCUAAUACAUGCAAGUCGAGCGAACGGACGAGAAGCUUGCUUCUCUGAUGUUAGCGGCGGACGGGUGAGUAACACGUGGAUGACCUACCUAUAAGACUGGGAUAACUUCGGGAAACCGGAGCUAAUGCCGGAUGAUAUUUUGAACCGCAUGGUUCAAAAGUGAAAGACGGUCUUGCUGUCACUUAUAGAUGGAUCCGCGCUGCAUUAGCUAGUUGGUAAGGUAACGGCUUACCAAGGCAACGAUGCAUAGCCGACCUGAGAGGGUGAUCGGCCACACUGGAACUGAGACACGGUCCAGACUCCUACGGGAGGCAGCAGUAGGGAAUCUUCCGCAAUGGGCGAAAGCCUGACGGAGCAACGCCGCGUGAGUGAUGAAGGUCUUCGGAUCGUAAAACUCUGUUAUUAGGGAAGAACAUAUGUGUAAGUAACUGUGCACAUCUUGACGGUACCUAAUCAGAAAGCCACGGCUAACUACGUG
rnacentral:rRNA from 1 species